rnacentral:rRNA from 1 species
AAUGCAAGUCGAACGCGAAAGGUUCCCUUCGGGGGGCGAGUAGAGUGGCGCACGGNCUGAGUAACACGNUAGGUAAUCUACCUUCGGAUGGGGAAUAACAAUCGGAAACGGUUGCUAAUACCGCAUAAUGCAGCGGCACCUAAUGGUGACAGUUGUUAAAGCGGGGGAUCGAAAGACCUCGCGUCUGAAGAGGAGCCUGCGGCGGAUUAGCUAGUUGGUAAGGUAACGGCUUACCAAGGCGACGAUCCGUAGCCGGCCUGAGAGGGCGGUCGGCCACACUGACACUGACAUACGGGUCAGACUCCUACGGGAGGCAGCAGUCGGGAAUUUUGGGCAAUGGGCGAAAGCCUGACCCAGCAACGCCGCGUGAAGGAUGAAAUCCCUCGGGAUGUAAACUUCGCAAGAACGGGAAGAAUAAGUCUGUGUAAAUACCAUAGAUGAUGACGGUACCGUUUGUAAGCUCCGGCUAACUCCGUGCCAGCAGCCGCGGUAAUACGGGGGGAGCAAGCGUUGUUCGGAUUUACUGGGCGUAAAGGGCGCGUAGGCGGCCAGCGCAAGUCAGUUGUGAAAUCUCCGAACUUAACUCGGAAAGGUCAACUGAUACUGCGCGGCUAGAGUGCGGAAGGGGCAACUGGAAUUCUUGGUGUAGCGGUGAAAUGCGUANAUAUCAAGAGGAACACCUGCGGCGAAGGCGGGUUGCUGGGCCNACACUGACGCUGAGGCGCGAAAGCUAGGGAGCGAACGGGANUANAUACCCCGGUAGUCCUANCCUUAAACGAUGAAUGCUUGGUGUCUGGGGUAU